rnacentral:rRNA from 1 species
AUUUGACCUCNGAUCAGGUAGGGAUACCCGCUGAACUUAAGCAUAUCA